CUUUGCUCUGAAGUUGCUGCAGAAAUAGCGUUCAUCAAGCUAAUCAGGGUACUUUUCUUUUAUUCAUAUUGUUUGUUAUGAUCAAGUCCUUGGUAUCAUAUCAAUCCUGUUCUAAUUAGUUCAUUAAUGCUUUAUUUUGAAUUAGGCUAAACUUUUUUCAAUAGACAGUAUGUCAUCCAGUGUACCACCCCAUCAUUGCUCUGAUCACUACGAGUUGAAAAUGUCUGAAAGGCUUUAUAAAUGCGAUAAAUGCAAGAUGAUAGGGUUUGGAGAAAGAUAUGCAUGCCGUCUCUGUCGCAACUAUCUCCAUCGUGUAUGUAAGUACCCCAAAUCCAAGGCUACCCACGAGAAAUUUCCUGGCUACACUUUCAAAUAUCGUAGUAAACCAGACAUAAAAAUGUGUGAAAACAAUAGCAGAGAGUUUUUGAAGUGUUGCGAUGCAUGUGGAAAGGACAUAUGCGGUAUUAGCUACCGCUGUUACAAGGACAAAUCGAAAUCAUUGGAUUUGCAUCCAUGCUGUCUAAAACUUGAAAUGAAAAUAAUGAUCAAGGAUACGAAAUUUGAUCUUGUGCCAAAGGUUUCGUCCAAGUGUUAUAAGUGCGGAAAGUGGAAGACUUCUUGUGACAAGAGUCGGGGAUUGUCUUAUGUUUCCCAGUGCAAAAAUUAUAGUCUUCAUGUGUAUUGUGUAACUGAUAUGAUACAAGAGGCGUAUAUGAAGCGUAAGGAUUUGACAUUGAAGGUAAGUGAUUCACGAGAAUUAGUAAGAUAUAACGGAAAGGGAAAGGGUAAAAAUAACUACGUCAAGGUUGCCAAAAGCUUUAUCAAAAUUCUAGUUUCUUUUAUUUUGGGCGAUCCUACGGCGCUGAUUUCCCAUGCCAUUGUGGAGUGUGUCUUUCUCCUCUUCGGAAAGUAGUGUCUUUUUCUUCUUCUAUUUUUCAGUGUGGAUGAUAGUGUUUUGUUUGGUUCUCGUGAUUCAAUUCGUCUUUCCAAUCAUGAGACAUAGUUGUGGUACUUUUCUUGUACGUGAGUGAUGAUUAUUGCAAUAAACAUUUUAAUUUGAAUCGUCAUGUAGAGCAAGUAUUGAUAAAAAAUAAUAAUAAUAAUAAAUAAAUAAAAAAAUUCAUCAUAUUCAUUGUUUUGUCUCUAGUGGCGACUAUGCAUAUUGAACAUAAAUAAAAAUCUUGUUCAAUUGUGCAUAUUGAAUAUCAAUUAAAAUUUUGUGUCUCGAUUUCAG
rnacentral:lncRNA from 1 species